UACAGAGGGGGUUAGCGUUGUUCGGAAUGACUGGGCGUAAAGCGCGCGUAGGCGGAUCAUCAAGUCGGGGGUGAAAUCCCGGGGCUCAACCCCGGAAUGGCCUUCGAGACUGGUGGUCUUGAGUUCGAGAGAGGUGAGUGGAAUUCCGAGUGUAGAGGUGAAAUUCGUAGAUAUUCGGAGGAACACCAGUGGCGAAGGCGGCUCACUGGCUCGACACUGACGCUGAGGUGCGAAAGCGUGGGGAGCAAACAGG
rnacentral:rRNA from 1 species